ACUCCUACGGGAGGCAGCAGUGGGAAGUAUUGCACAAUGGGCGCAAGCCUGAUGCAGCCAUGCCGCGUGUGUGAAGAAGGCCUUCGGGUUGUAAAGCACUUUCAGUCGUGAGGAAGGUAGUGUAGUUAAUAGCUGCAUUAUUUGACGUUAGCGACAGAAGAAGCACCGGCUAACUCCGUGCCAGCAGCCGCGGUAAUACGGAGGGGUGCGAGCGUUAAUCGGAAUUACUGGGCGUAAAGCGCAUGCAGGUGGUUUGUUAAGUCAGAUGUGAAAGCCCGGGGCUCAACCUCGGAAUAGCAUUUGAAACUGGCAGACUAGAGUACUGUAGAGGGGGUAGAAUUUCAGGUGUAGCGGUGAAAUGCGUAGAGAUCUGAAGGAAUACCGGUGGCGAAGGCGGCCCCCUGGACAGAUACUGACACUCAGAUGCGAAAGCGUGGGGAGCAAACAGGAUUAGAUACCCUGGUAGGAUAGCG
rnacentral:rRNA from 1 species